GCUCGCAGCCCCGCCCGCCCCGGCGGGUGAGCAGACAAGCCUCUCGGGCGGCAUGUGAAGAUAAAAUGAGAAGUUGGCAGUCUGCAAGCAGGAAGCAGUCCCCCACCAGACCUGACCCCGCUGGCACCCUGAUUUCGAACAUCCAGCCUCCAGAACUGACUCCAGUGGUCAGCGUGGCUGACGUGCUAUCAGGAUCCCCGUCUGCACAGGUGGUUCCCACAAUACUUGCUGGAGUGACAAGCUGUGACGAGAGCGUGUGAAUAUGGACAGAGACCUGUCUGAUAGACUAAGUUUACAGAUGAAGCAAAUUAGGAACAAAUGUUUUUAAAGCAUUUUCUAUUUAGCAUGAUUGUAUGGUUCUUUCAAAAGGUUAGUCUCCAAACCUAGGGUUUUAUGCCUUUUGGCCACGCCUUCAUCGUUCAUGUGUAUAAUAACUGAUUUCUGAACAUGGACUCCAUUGAAUAAAGGAAGAGGUUAAGUGAAAGAUGCUAUAGUCACAUGUAAACAACAAGAAAGGUAGCAUUUAAGGAAGUUAUUAUGUAUAUACUUGGGGAAGGUGAAAAAAAGCUCUUUUCCUUAGAGGAUAGACACUGUCUUUUAUACUGUAUAAGCAGACACUAUGUUUUAUUUAUCCUAGUAUACUCUUGCCUUA